rnacentral:rRNA from 1 species
CUACGGGCCGCAGCAGUCGCGAAUCAUUUACAAUGCGCGCAAGCGUGAUAAUGCGAGCCAAAGUGUUUUUCGUUUAGAAAAACUUUUCUUUACUGUAAAAAUGUAGAGGAAUAAGGACUGGGAAAGACCGGUGCCAGCCGCCGCGGUAAUACCGGCAGUUCAAGUUGCAUCCCUUUUUAUUGGGUCUAAAACAUCCGUAGCUUGGAAUUUAAGUCUCUUGUGAAAUCUCACGUCUCAAGCGUGGUGAAGUGCAGGAGAUACUGGAUUCCUAGAGAUCGGUAGACGUAAGGAGUACGCCGGGGGUAAUGGUAAAAUAUGUUAAUCCUCGGUGGACUAACAAUGAGCGAAGGCACCUUACGAGGACGAAUCUGACAGUGAGGGAUGAAGGCCAGGGGCGCAAAACGGAUUAGAUACCCUCGUAGUC